rnacentral:lncRNA from 1 species
CUGUUGUAUGUGUUCUUCCAUUGACUUACUAUAAAAAUCUCAUCUUUUCAAGUAUUAUUUUGAUUUGAAGCACUGGAAAAUAAUUAAAAAACCAAAGAUGGCUUCCAACAAUUCAACAACUGUAGACCUGCCGGAUUCUCUUCUCCAUCACAUUCUCUCUCUCAUGCCGAUAGAGGAGGCAUUCAAAACGCGUGCUUUCUCAGAAGGUGGCGCUAUUUCUGGACUUCACUUUAUAAUUUCUAUUUCAAUUGAGAACUUUACAAUGAAGAAUGGAGGAUUUAACAGGUAAAAGUUCAGAUCUCUUAGAUCUGGCCGAUUUUAGAGUUUUUCGGCAUUUUGUUGUUGUUUUAAUUGGUAAAAGUCCAAAUCUUCUUAUAUCUAGGAUUUUCCGGCGAAGGAAUUCGAUCACUGAUUGGUGGAAUCGUUGGGCUGACCAUUCUAAUAUCUUUUAGGCUACUAGAUGUAUUUGAAAUUUUGUGACUACCAGAUGAUAUAACUUUGUAGCGAGUGGCUACAAAAGUAUUUUGCUCUUCAAUUUAUCAUCUUAUGCACUCUCCAAAUUUUGCAUUUUAGUCACCUAAGCAUGGUCAUACUUUGUGUAAAUGUAUCAUCAUUCUUUACUGUUUAGCUCAAAGUUCUCAUACACUUUGUAAGCAUAAAUCAAUUAAAAUAAAUGGAUGGCCAAUCAUAGCAGAUCGUAAUACAUCAAAAGACUGAAUGAAAAAUAUAACAGAUGAGUGUUAUUUAGAGACAAAUGU